UACGAACUGUGCAAACGUUAUUCGGAAUCACUGGGCUUACAGGGUGCGUAGGCGGCUUGUCAAGUAGGGUGUGAAAGCCCCCGGCUCAACCGGGGAAUUGCGCCCUAAACUGGCGAGCUGGAGUGAGAUAGGGGUGUGCGGAACUUCCGGUGGAGCGGUGAAAUGUGUUGAUAUCGGAAGGAACGCCGGUGGCGAAAGCGGCACACUGGAUCUCAACUGACGCUGAGGCACGAAAGCCAGGGGAGCGAACGGG
rnacentral:rRNA from 1 species